rnacentral:rRNA from 1 species
GAACUGAAACAUCUAAGUACCUGCAGGAAGAGAAAGAAAAUUCGAUUCCCUGAGUAGCGGCGAGCGAAACGGGAAAAGCCCAAACCAGCAAGCUUGCUUGUUGGGGUUGUAGGACUCCAAUAUGGUAGUUCUUUCAGAUAGUCGAAUGACUUGGAAAAGUCAGUCAAAGAGGGUAAAAACCCCGUAGACGAAAUGUGGAAGACACCUAGGAGGAUCCUGAGUACGGCGGAACACGAGAAAUUCCGUCGGAAUCCGGGAGGACCAUCUCCCAAGGCUAAAUACUCCCUAGUGACCGAUAGUGAACCAGUACCGUGAGGGAAAGGUGAAAAGCACCCCGGAAGGGGAGUGAAAUAGAACCUGAAACCGUGUGCCUACAACAAGUCAAAGCCCGUUAAUGGGUGAUGGCGUGCCUUUUGUAGAAUGAACCGGCGAGUUACGAUUGCAUGCGAGGUUAAGUUGAAGAGACGGAGCCGCAGCGAAAGCGAGUCUGAAUAGGGCGUUUGAGUAUGUAGUCGUAGACCCGAAACCAUGUGAUCUACCCAUGUCCAGGUUGAAGGUGCGGUAAAACGCACUGGAGGACCGAACCCACGUACGUUGAAAAGUGCGGGGAUGAGGUGUGGGUAGCGGAGAAAUUCCAAACGAACUUGGAGAUAGCUGGUUCUCUCCGAAAUAGCUUUAGGGCUAGCCUCGGAAUUGAGAAUGAUGGAGGUAGAGCACUGUUUGGACUAGGGGCCCAUCUCGGGUUACCGAAUUCAGAUAAACUCCGAAUGCCAUUCAUUCAUAUCCGGGAGUCAGACUGUGAGUGAUAAGAUCCAUAGUCGAAAGGGAAACAGCCCAGACCACCAGCUAAGGUCCCAAAAUAUAUGUUAAGUGGAAAAGGAUGUGGGGUUGCACAGACAACUAGG